CCAAGCUAUUAAGGGCAGACGGUGGAUGCCUAGGCGUCAAGAGGCGAAGAAAGACGUGGAAAGCUGCGAUAAGCUUCGGUGAGCUGCUAAACAAGCUUUGACCCGGAGAUUUCUGAAUGGGGAAACCUGUCGCGGGUAGUGUCGCGACAUCUUCAGCUGAAUCCAUAGGCUGUUGAGGCUAACGGGGUGAACUGAAACAUCUUAGUAACCCUAGGAAGAGAAAACAAUAGUGAUUUCCCAAGUAGCGGCGAGCGAACGGGAACCAGCCCAAACCGUACACUUUUCGGAGCGUGCGGGGUUGUAGGACCGUCAUCACGUGAUCCAUGAUUAGAUAGAAGAACAGGUUGGAAAACCUGGCCAUAGGGGGUGAUAGCCCCGUAUUCGAAAUCGAAAGUGGCACAGACGGCACCUGAGUACCACGGGACACGGGAAACCCUGUGGGAAUCCGGGAGGACCAUCUCCCAAGGCUAAAUACUACUUGACGACCGAUAGUGAACCAGUACCGUGAGGGAAAGGUGAAAAGUACCCCGGUGAGGGGAGUGAAAUAGUACCUGAAACCGUCUGCUUACAAGCAGUGGGAGCACGAUGUGCCUUUAGGCACCGUGUGACCGCGUGCCUUUUGCAUAAUGAGUCAGCGAGUUACUUUACGUAGCAAGGUUAAGCCGUUAGGUGUAGCCGUAGCGAAAGCGAGUCUUAACAGGGCGAUUUAGUUGCGUGGAGUAGACCCGAAACCAAGUGAUCUAUCCAUGGCCAGGGUGAAGCGAGAGUAAAAUCUCGUGAAGGCCCGAACCGUUGUAUGUUGAAAAAUGCUCGGAUGAGCUGUGGAUAGGGGUGAAAGGCCAAACAAACUUGGAAAUAGCUGGUUCUCCCCGAAAUAUAUUUAGGUAUAGCCUUGCGCAAUUAAGUGACGGGGGUAGAGCACUGGAUGGGCUAGGGGUCCUACCAGAUUACCAAACCUAACCAAACUCCGAAUACCGUUAACUUUUACCGCAGGAGUCAGACUAUGGGAGCUAAGUUCCAUGGUCGAGAGGGAAACAGCCCAGAUCGCCGGCUAAGGUCCCCAAAUGUGUGCUAAGUGGGAAAGGAUGUGGAAAUGCACAGACAACCAGGAGGUUGGCUUAGAAGCAGCCACCCUUUAAAGAAAGCGUAACAGCUCACUGGUCGAGUGAGUCUGCGCCGAAAAUGUAACGGGGCUGAAGCACACUACCGAAGCCGCGGGAUGUACCCGGUCUCAGGGUUGGGUGCAUCGGUAGGGGAGCAUUGUGUACAGGUUGAAGGUUGACCGUGAGGACGGCUGGACAGUACACAAGAGACCAUGCUGACAUGAGUAACGAUAAAGCGGGUGAAAAACCCGCUCGCCGAAAACCUAAGGUUUCCUGAGUAAAGCUAAUCUGCUCAGGGUUAGUCGAUCCCUAAGCCGAGGCCGAAAGGCGUAGGUAAUGGAAAACAGGUCAAUAUUCCUGUACCACCAGCUUGUCGUUUGAGAGAUGAGGGGACGCAGAAGGGUAGGUCAUCCACCUGUUGGAUUAGGUGGUUUAAGCCUGUAGGCUGAAAAGAUAGGCAAAUCCGUCUUUUCAUUUAAAGCCGAGAGGUGAUGACGAGUCUUCGGACAUAAAGUGAUUGAUCCCAUACUGCCAAGAAAAGCCUCUAUCGAGACAGGCAGGUGAUCGUACCGCAAACCGACACAGGUAGGUAGGGAGAGAAUCCCAAGGCGCUUGAGAGAACCCUGGUUAAGGAACUCGGCAAAAUCACACCGUAACUUCGGGAGAAGGUGUGCCUCUAUUAGGUGAAGCAUUUUACAUGUGGAGCUGACGGGGGCCGCAGAGAAAUGGCGGUAGCGACUGUUUACUAAAAACAUAGGACUCUGCUAAGUCGCAAGACGAUGUAUAGGGUCUGACGCCUGCCCGGUGCCGGAAGGUUAAGGGGAUUUGUUAGUCUUCGGACGAAGCUUUGAACCGAAGCCCCGGUAAACGGCGGCCGUAACUAUAACGGUCCUAAGGUAGCGAAAUUCCUUGUCGGGUAAGUUCCGACCUGCACGAAUGG
rnacentral:rRNA from 1 species